rnacentral:rRNA from 1 species
UACGUAGGGGGCGAGCGUUGUCCGGAGUUACUGGGCGUAAAGCGCACGCAGGCGGUCUGCUAAGUUUGGAGUGACAGUUGGUGGCUUAACUGCCAAAGUGCUUCGAAAACUGACAGACUUGAGGGCUUCAGAGGGACACGGAAUUCCGGGUGGAGUGGUGAAAUGCGUAGAUAUCUGGAAGAACACCAAUGGCGAAGGCACCAUCCUGGGAAGCAUCUGACGCUCAGGUGCGAAAGCGAGGGGAGCGAACGGG